rnacentral:lncRNA from 1 species
CUUUAACACAAAGCACUUUCCUAUGGUUUCUCAUUUAAGGUAGGUAUAAUUUCCAUUUUGCAAGUGGGAGACCUGGAGCUCAGAGAGGGCAAAUGACUUGUCCGAGGUCACAAUGUUCUUUAGUGGCAGAACAAGGAGUCAAGCCCAGAUCUUCGGGCUCCUUGGUUGAGAGCUGUCUUCACCAUCACGUGGAAAAGAUGGGGGAGGAGAGAGCAGCACACUGGUUGCCAGUGUAUCAGCGCUCCAGGGCAGGCAGGUGGAGGGAAACACGGCCUGAGAAGUCAAGAGGAGGACCACCUGCCUGGAGCCACACACGGCACUUUCCACGCAUAACCCCCUUUAAUCAUUGCCUCAAACUCAUGAAAGUGAUGAGGAACUGAAGCUGGGAGAGGCUAAGCGGUCACCCGGCUAGUUAAUAGCAGAGUUGUGGACCUGAAUCCAGAUCUGUCCAACUUGAGAGCCUCCGCAGGUCUCCACUGGGGCUUUUCAGGUCUUGUUCUUGGUGCUGGAGAACAGAAAAAGUCCCAGUCCUCAUUUGGGGGAGACGGAUGAUAAACAAACAUAUAAAAAACUUCAGACAGCGGUAAAAGGAAUUAUCCAUAAUGGCCGCAUCCAAUCUGUUGAAGGCCUUAAAAGCAAAAACUGAGGUUUCCCAGAGAAGAAGGAAUUCUGCCUUAAGACUAUGACAUAGAAACUCUGCCUGAGUUUCCAGCCUCCUGCUCUACAGAACAGCAGGACUUUUGGACUUGCCAGCCCCCACAACCAUGUGAGUCAAUUUCUUCAAAAAAAAAAAAAAAAAAUCCCUCCUCUUUCUCUCUCAUACAUGCAUAUAAUUGGUUAUAUAUAACAUAUAUAAUUGGUUCUGUUUCUCUGGAGAACCAUGACAAAUAUAUAACCCAAAUAUGUUUGGGUUGUGUAUUAGUCAAUGAGAGAAUGCAUACAUAAAAUGCAUAAAUACUCAAACUACACAGCAAUGGAAAAGAACAAAUUGCUAUAUUCACACACAUAGAUGAAUCUUACAGACAUAAUGUUGAGCCAGACACAAAAGAAUAUAUACUGUAUGAAUUAAUGUUUACAAAGUUCAGGAACAAGCAAGACUAAGCUAUAAUGACAGAAAUCAGAAUAUUGGUUACCUUUGAGGGAUGAUAUUAACUAUGAGGGGACACAAAGGAGUCUUCUGUGGUUUUGGAACUGUUGUGUGUCAGCGUGGUAGUUACGCAAGAGCAAAUAUAUGUGAAAUUUCAUCCAGCUGUGCAUUUUAUGUGUGUUGUUUUUUAAAGAGGUUAAAAAAGAGUACUUACUUUAAAUGCUAACUUUCUCCAUCCCCUCUAUGGCUAAGCUGUAACCUCUAUACUGUAUAUUUCUAUAUCCAUAUUGCAGAUCCUGAAAAUCUACUCAGGCCCCAAAUACAUGUUCAUAAUUAUAUUUCUUAUGCCUAUCCAAAAAACUGGUUUUCCUUUUAAAAUUUGCAAGCCAUCCAAGAAUCCUCCUUCUCUGUAACCCCGAGUACAUCUGAUGGCCAAGUGCAGUUGAUCAGCUUCCUAAAUAUCCCUCCACUUUGUCUCUUCCUCUCCUUCCCAUCACUGCCUUUGUUUAGGCACCAUAAUUUCUGCUUGAGUUGCAUCAUCACCUAGGUGACAACAACACCUAAAUUAGUGUUUAAAUAACUGAGGACUGUAGCUUUGCCCUACUGAUGCAUAAAACUGACCAUCACAUAGGCCUAGCCUCUACUCCAGUGCCCCCAUCUGCUCAAUCUAUGUUUGUGAAAUGAAAUGGCUCAUUUCUAACCCCAGUACCAUCAUGUUCCAGACAAGUCUUGGUGUCUGACCAUGGGAAGCAAGUAGUUAUCGUGCAUCCAUUAUGUGCAGUGCAGACAGAGGGUGAUUCCAGAAAUACAAGAUUCUGGAUUUUAAUCUAGAGAGACAAAACAGUCAGAUAAGUGCAAGACAACCUACAGGUAAGUUCCCACA